CUUUAGCUAAUCGCUAGGAAGCAAGAAAAUAUGGUCAUUGGUCAAUGACAAUAUUCUCCAUUUGGUAGUCAUUUGCUAGUUGAAUUACAGUAACGUGAAUAUUUUUUUCCUGAAAUUGAAAUUUUAUUUUCUAAAGGUUUGCAAAUUCUGUUAGUGUGGCAAUUUCUUCUUUGGGUUGUAAGGGUUUUGGCUAUUGUUUGUUUUUGUUAGGAAGAAGGCAACUUAGAAAAUAAAUUCUGCUUUUUUGCUUAUAAAUAACAACACUGGUAAUCUUGAGACUGUUUUUGUUACUAGCCUACACUUAAAUGUGUCCUUUAGGGGAAAAUCUGACCCAAAAAAAGGAUUUGGCAGGUUGUUCCGAGCAGUUUCUUGGGAUUGGUGCAAUUCUUCAAUAAGAGCGUUGUGUCGUGGCUUCGUCUUCAUUGGCCUUUAGUUGCACGAAUACCAAAUUGCAUUCUUGCCUGAACAUGAAGAAGGCUUUGACACAAUACUCACGAAACUGCCAUCUCUCCCUCCAUGCACUACCAUAGCUGUAGUCCAAAUCCUCCAAAUAGGCUUUUGGAUUUUUCAACUCUGAUGAGUAGAGUUCUAUUAGAGAUCAAACUGCCAACCAAGUUAGACAGCCUCUCUAUGGCCUGAUAGAGACUUCUUAAUCUUGCUCUGCCUGCGUCUUGUGGGAUUAUAGCAUCAAAUCUCUUACUCCCCAUAAAUAUUAUGAUUAAAGCCAAAAAUUGACCUAGCAUUAUGAUUAACCUCAGCCAAGUAAUUAUUUAGGUUCCCUAAAGUUGGUCAAAGGACUGAGAUGAUAACCCAGAUUACUGAUUAUAACUAACAGCCAAUUCAGUCAUUCUCUCCUCAGAUAGAUCCUAAAUUUCCUUGUCUUGAGAAUUCAGUGAUGCGUAAUCUAAAAGAGCUUCCGCCCUCUUCAGUUGAGAAUCUAAACAAUUUUGCCUCAAUUGAAAAAUCUGAAACUCUGUCCAUGUUGAAAGGAAAUUAUAUAAGAAUGAAACUAAGACAAUUGAGAAACAAGGGAGAGAGGAAGACAUCCGCCAAGCCCACAAAGUCCUUUAGUUUUGCUUUUUUUUUUUCAGAAGACCUUCUCUGAGUUGCUGAUUCUUUCUUGGACUUACCUCAAUAAGUAGGAGAGUUGCUUUGCUUCUGUGAGCGACUGGUUUUAUCUCGGAGAUACUUGGCCAUGUGCUCAUCUCCUUCAAUUUGGAACCAAAUGUGCUCAUCUCCUUCAAUCUGGCAUUGGUUCCAAACUAUUAUACAACAUUCUUGUGGAUUUUACAACAUAGCUUCAUGGGGUGGAUCGCACAAUUCUAAUGCGAGCACUGAAGCAGCUCGAACACAAAGGCAAACUUGGAAUAUUCAAAGGAACUUCAACUGAUGAUGAAGGUGUGAAGUUCUCUGUGUAGAGUGUGUUUGCCAGGAACUUAUGUAAGAAAACUAGUCUGCAAGAUAACAGGAUGGCAUAACAGGAUGGCUGCAUCACCAUGGUUGACAGAAUUUCUUCGGCACAUGGUUUAUGUUAAACAGUGAAUUUGUACUUUUGUUAGAGAUGAGUCUCUUUAUAAAAUCUUACAAAGUAAGGUUGUUUAAGAAAGAUCUAUGGUGUUUUGAAGGUGGCUUUAUACUAUUUCAUAUUAAUUUAAUAACUUUUUGUA